AUUGAACGCUGGCGGAAUGCUUUACACAUGCAAGUCGAACGGCAGCACGGGGCAACCUGGUGGCGAGUGGCGAACGGUGAGUAAUACAUCGGAACGUGCCCAAUCGUGGGGGAUAACGUAGCGAAAGUUACGCUAAUACCGCAUACGAUCUACGGAUGAAAGCGGGGGAUCGCAAGACCUCGCGCGAGUGGAGCGGCCGAUGUCAGAUUAGGUAGUUGGUGGGGUAAAGGCUCACCAAGCCAACGAUCUGUAGCUGGUCUGAGAGGACGACCAGCCACACUGGAACUGAGACACGGUCCAGACUCCUACGGGAGGCAGCAGUGGGGAAUUUUGGACAAUGGGCGCAAGCCUGAUCCAGCCAUUCCGCGUGCAGGAUGAAGGCCUGGUUGUAACUAGCUUUGUUACGG
rnacentral:rRNA from 1 species